rnacentral:rRNA from 1 species
GAUGAACGCUAGCUACAGGCUUAACACAUGCAAGUCGAGGGGUAACGAGAGGAAAGCUUGCUUUCCUUGUCGACGACCGGCGCACGGGUGAGUAACGCGUAUCCAACCUGCCCCCAACUAGGGAAUAACCUUGCGAAAGUAAGACUAAUACCCUAUAAUUUCCUCAGAUGUCAUCUGACGAGGAAUAGAGAUUUAUCGGUUGUGGAUGGGGAUGUGUCUGAUUAGCUUGUUGGCGGGGUAACGGCCCACCAAGGCAACGAUCAGUAGGGGUUCUGAGAGGAAGGUCCCCCACAUUGGAACGGGGACACGGUCCAAACGCCUACGGGUGGCAGCAGUGAGGAAUAUUGGUCAAUGGGCGGAAGCCUGAACCAGCCAAGUAGCGUGCAGGAUGACGGCCCUAUGGGUUGUAAACUGCUUUUAUACAGGAAUAAAGUUAGCCACGUGUGGUUAUUUGUAGGUACUGUAUGAAUAAGGACCGGCUAAUUCCGUGCCAGCAGCCGCCGUAA